UCUGCCCCUAGAGGCAAUACAGGUAUGACUGUUGUGUCACAUGUGUGUCAGUAGGUGACAAAGAGGAGAGAGGCUGUGUUUGUGCUCAGUGUUCCGCUGCACGGACAUCUGAAUGAUUAAGUAACCUAACAUU